GAUGAACGCUGGCGGCGUGCUUAACACAUGCAAGUCGAACGAAGCACUUUAACCUGAUUCUUCGGAUGAAGGUUUUUGUGACUGAGUGGCGGACGGGUGAGUAACGCGUGGGUAACCUGCCUCAUACAGGGGGAUAACAGUUAGAAAUGACUGCUAAUACCGCAUAAGACCACGGAGCCGCAUGGCUCCGUGGGAAAAACUCCGGUGGUAUGAGAUGGACCCGCGUCUGAUUAGGUAGUUGGUGGGGUAACGGCCUACCAAGCCGACGAUCAGUAGCCGACCUGAGAGGGUGACCGGCCACAUUGGGACUGAGACACGGCCCAAACUCCUACGGGAGGCAGCAGUGGGGAAUAUUGCACAAUGGGGGAAACCCUGAUGCAGCGACGCCGCGUGAGCGAAGAAGUAUUUCGGUAUGUAAAGCUCUAUCAGCAGGGAAGAAAAUGACGGUACCUGACUGAGAAGCACCGGCUAAAUACGUGCCAGCAGCCGCGGUAAUACGUAUGGUGCAAGCGUUAUCCGGAUUUACUGGGUGUAAAGGGAGCGUAGACGGCUGUGUAAGUCUGAAGUGAAAACCCGGGGCUCAACCCCGGGACUGCUUUGGAAACUAUGCAGCUAGAGUGUCGGAGAGGUAAGUGGAAUUCCCAGUGUAGCGGUGAAAUGCGUAGAUAUUGGGAGGAACACCAGUGGCGAAGGCGGCUUACUGGACGAUGACUGACGUUGAGGCUCGAAAGCGUGGGGAGCAAACAGGAUUAGAUACUCUGGUAGUCCACGCCGUAAACGAUGACUACUAGGUGUCGGGGAGCAAAGCUCUUCGGUGCCGCAGCAAACGCAAUAAGUAGUCCACCUGGGGAGUACGUUCGCAAGAAUGAAACUCAAAGGAAUUGACGGGGACCCGCACAAGCGGUGGAGCAUGUGGUUUAAUUCGAAGCAACGCGAAGAACCUUACCUGCUCUUGACAUCCCGGUGACCGGCAUGUAAUGAUGCUUUUUCUUCGGAACACCGGUGACAGGUGGUGCAUGGUUGUCGUCAGCUCGUGUCGUGAGAUGUUGGGUUAAGUCCCGCAACGAGCGCAACCCUUAUCUUCAGUAGCCAGCAUUUUGGAUGGGCACUCUGGAGAGACUGCCAGGGAUAACCUGGAGGAAGGUGGGGAUGACGUCAAAUCAUCAUGCCCCUUAUGAGCAGGGCUACACACGUGCUACAAUGGCGUAAACAAAGGGAAGCGAGCCUGCGAGGGUAAGCAAAUCUCAAAAAUAACGUCUCAGUUCGGAUUGUAGUCUGCAACUCGACUACAUGAAGCUGGAAUCGCUAGUAAUCGCGAAUCAGCAUGUCGCGGUGAAUACGUUCCCGGGUCU
rnacentral:rRNA from 1 species